UACGAAGGGGGCUAGCGUUGCUCGGAAUCACUGGGCGUAAAGGGCGCGUAGGCGGUUGGAUAAGUCAGCUGUGAAAACCACGGGCUUAACUCGUGGCCUGCAGUUGAGACUGUCUGGCUUGAGUGUGGGAGAGGAGAGUGGAAUUCCUGGUGUAGCGGUGAAAUGCGUAGAUAUCAGGAGGAACACCGGUGGCGAAGGCGGCUCUCUGGACCACAACUGACGCUGAGGCGCGAAAGCUAGGGGAGCAAACAGG
rnacentral:rRNA from 1 species